GGAAAGGAGAAACGAAACCAUAUGUAUGGGGACACCAGGGAUGGAUUCCAGGGAAGUUUUGUUCUAGGGUAAUGUUAAACAUUUCACUGGCACUUUUUUUUCUCCAUACGUGUGUGUGGGGUUGGCCUUUGUUUUCAGGAGGCCGCCGUAGCUAUCCCCCAGCGCCCAGAGCAAAUAAACCCCAAACAAAGCAUCCCAGCAGCUCUCAGGGCUCAGUUCAGCCUCCUGCCUCUUUUUCCUUUGUGUAGGGGCCGCUGGGGAAAGAAAGCAAUGUUUAUCUUUGAGACACAGAGCUGGGCUGAAAUCAUCUGUAUUUUUUUAAUUAUGGGGGAUUUGAAGCCCAAAAGGGUUGUUGGAGAGCUGAAGUUCCUCGUGUUGCUUUUCCUGCAGCCAUUAGUGCAGGAGAGGAGGUGUCCCUGGGAAGAUGCUCAGGCAGGGAUGCAUUUUGGAAAGUAGCCCAUCUGGUUCCCCUCUUGACUCACGGGAAGCAACAUCUGCUCCAUGGAGGUUCAACCAAAGCACUGCAUUUAGCAGCAUCGUUUGGUUUUGCAACGGCAUCUCAGCCUGGAGCUGAGCAGAACUGUUCCCGCUGACCGCCGGAAGCAGAAGGGAGCCGGCUGCUGACUUUCCUAAAUAUUGAUGCUUUAGAAAACGACUAUUUCGUGCUUCGUAAACAGCUGAGUGAGGGGCACGUCUCAUUCGCCACCCAAACGGUGCCGAUGGUGCUGCGGGAGGGCGGGACUCUCGGCGGAGGCCACAAACAGACCGACAGCGAAGCACAGCCGGCGGCGCAGCGAGGGAGCCGCGCUCGCGGGGACCCUGAAGAAACUCCUCUGCACUUCAGAAAGCAGGCGGUGCGGUGCCGGUUGGUUGGCUGAGAGCCGCCGGGCUGCGACAGGCGCGAGACGUUCCCGCGGCAGCGCGCUGUGCGCUGUGAGAAGAGCCGGAGCCGGGAAACCUGAAACGCCAUUCUCUUCCCGCCAGAGCAAAGCCCGCCGUCACCCCGAGCGGUCGCGGCUCCGGGCGGCGGCGGACGGCUGUGGGAGCAGAGCGGCGGGCUGCCCCUAGGUGGCGCUCUGCUGCAGCGGAGGGUCGGAGCGGGAAGGGCGAGAGGUGCCGCGGCCCAGUGGAGCCUUUGUCCUGAGAAGCCAGAUGCCGAGCCACCAGCCCUGGGCACUGCUCGGCACUUGCCCUGCUGCCUGCAGCUGCUGGCAGGGAUGCUCCCCUUGGCAAACCGAGGCUGAUGACCAUAAGCAGAGCUGGCUGGAAACCACAACACUUCUGGAGGAGUGAGCUGGGCUCUUGCAAAUGCAUCGAAGCUCUUGCUGGACACCACAGGAACAGGGAAUAUUCCUGAACGCUCUCCUUCCUACUGAUGUUCUGGUAUUUGAUAUUCAGAGAACAGGCAUGUAGCACCCUGCUGCUCUGGGAUCGAGGGGUGCAGGGGUAGAAUGUGGCUCCUAUGCUUGGGUUUGUUGUCCUGGUAUCCCCUGCCAGCACGCUGCU
ensembl:lncRNA